UGAGCACAAACAGACGCUGGAGUCGUAGUGUCCGGUCAGUGUCCGGCGACGUUGACGGUCGAGCCGUCCCAUCGAGGAUGCACUUCUGAUAGAGACUGUUGUGGAGGACACAAAUGCUGUCCAUUUCCCUGUGGUCCUGUGUGUGUGCCGCCUGUUUUCAUGUGAAGAAUG